rnacentral:rRNA from 1 species
GACGUGCUUGCACUGAAUGAGAUUUUAACACGAAGUGAGUGGCGGACGGGUGAGUAACACGUGGGUAACCUGCCCAGAAGCAGGGGAUAACACCUGGAAACAGAUGCUAAUACCGUAUAACAGAGAAAACCGCCUGGUUUUCUUUUAAAAGAUGGCUCUGCUAUCACUUCUGGAUGGACCCGCGGCGCAUUAGCUAGUUGGUGAGGUAACGGCUCACCAAGGCGAUGAUGCGUAGCCGACCUGAGAGGGUAAUCGGCCACAUUGGGACUGAGACACGGCCCAGACUCCUACGGGAGGCAGCAGUAGGGAAUCUUCCACAAUGGACGCAAGUCUGAUGGAGCAACGCCGCGUGAGUGAAGAAGGGUUUCGGCUCGUAAAGCUCUGUUGUUAAAGAAGAACGUGGGUGAGAGUAACUGUUCACCCAGUGACGGUAUUUAACCAGAAAGCCACGGCUAACUACGUGCCAGCAGCCGCGGUAAUACGUAGGUGGCAAGCGUUAUCCGGAUUUAUUGGGCGUAAAGCGAGCGCAGGCGGUCUUUUAAGUCUAAUGUGAAAGCCUUCGGCUCAACCGAAGAAGUGCAUUGGAAACUGGGAGACUUGAGUGCAGAAGAGGACAGUGGAACUCCAUGUGUAGCGGUGAAAUGCGUAGAUAUAUGGAAGAACACCAGUGGCGAAGGCGGCUGUCUGGUCUGUAACUGACGCUGAGGCUCGAAAGCAUGGGUAGCGAACAGGAUUAGAUACCCUGGUAGUCCAUGCCGUAAACGAUGA